rnacentral:rRNA from 1 species
GACGAAGGGGGCUAGCGUUGUUCGGAAUUACUGGGCGUAAAGGGCUCGUAGGCGGCCAACUAAGUCGGACGUGAAAUCCCUCGGCUUAACCGGGGAACUGCGUCCGAUACUGGAUGGCUUGAGUUCGGGAGAGGGAUGCGGAAUUCCAGGUGUAGCGGUGAAAUGCGCAGAUAUCGGGAAGAACACCCGUGGCGAAGGCGGUUCUCUGGGACGGUACUGACGCUGAGACGCGAAAGCGUGGGGAGCGAACAGG